CUACUCGCUUUGGCGGUACAUAUACUAAAAAUGGAACAAUACAGAGAAGAUUAGCAUGGCCCCUGCACAAAAUUGUUAAGCGUUUCAUAUCUUC
rfam:Schistosoma curassoni strain Dakar, Senegal genome assembly, scaffold: SCTD_scaffold0003331